ACGAGGCAUGUCCCUUCAACACACGGUGCUCUUUAGGCAUGAACUAAUUCCUAAUCAAAGGUUCGCAGACGACACCAUAUUCAGGCACGUUAAUGGUAAAAUUCCAGGAGGUUCGCUUGCUGAGGUUCGUUCUCGUGGACAGAUUGCUCUAGCCACUGGUUCGUCUGGGGCAGUGGCAAAUAACACGUCUGGUUGACGAACAACUCACUCAAGAUUUAAAAUUCCCCUCAUCUUGAAUAAUAACUCUCUUUGCAACAUCAGUAAAUGACUGCUCACCUACUCCAUAGUGCAAUGUUGAUCAUAUGGGAUGAAGCCUCAGAUGGCAAAAAGACAAGCAAUUAAGGCACAAUAUGGAACAAUGCAGAAUAUCAUAGGCGUAAGACAACCAUUUGGCGGAAAAAUUAUGGUUAUGGGCGGUGAUUUUAGACAAGUAUUGCCGGUAGUCAAGAAAGGAACCCGCACACAGAUUGUCGACUUGAGCUUUCGGAUGUCGCCACUAUGGUCUAUCACCAAAAAGCUUUGUUUAAUUUUAAAUAUGAAAGCGCGGACAAAUCCAUGGUUUUCAGAUUUCCUUUUAAGAGUCGGUGAUGGAAAAGAAGAGGUGAUUGACGACAACUUUAUUCACAUACCUGAUGACAUGACCAUCCCAUACAGUACGUAGUCUAGAUCGAAAGAGGACCUUAUAAGUGCCAUAUUCUCGUCCAUUGAAGUGAAAGGGAAUUCUUUAGAGUACAUUGUUUCUAGGGCAAUACUGUCAACUAAAAAAGAUAAUGUCGAUGAGAGUAAUGAUGAGUUGAUUGAUAGAUUUAGUGGGCAGGAGCAAAUAUGUUACGGCUUUGAUGAGGCGGAAGACGAUGUUAACAACUACUAUCCGGUUGAAUUGUUAAAUUCUCUUAGUGUCACUCGUUUGCCCCCUCAUCCUCUACGACUCAAAAUUGGGUGCCCCGUUAUACUGCUACGUAACAUCGAUCCAUCCCAUCCAAUAGACUUUGUAACGGGACUUUGUCAUCGAUGCGGAAAUAGUGGUUGCCGGUUGGUCAGCAUGCCGGUAAGAGUUUUCUUACCGAGAAUAUCCCUCUGUCCCUCUGUCACUCUGAAAAUGAUAUGUACCCCUUUAAGUUGAAAAGAAAACAGUUCCCUAUUCGACUUAUCUUUGCAAUGACAAUAAACAAAGCCCAAGGCCAAACAGUUCCACACGGUGGUGUUUAUUUACCUGAAUCGGAAUUCUCGCACGGACACCUAUACGUGGCCCUGUCUAGAGGGAUAUCACGCGAAAGGGUGAAGGUUAGGCCUACCCAAAAGUUCCAUCAACCUGGUGUAUACACCUCAAGUGUGGUCUACAAAGAAGUUUUAAAAGUGCAUAGCUCAUAUAAGGUUCCAAGGUUUUAUGCCCAUUUCCGCACUUGAUCCAUCUACCUCUUCAUGCUCAUUCUGUUUAGGUUACUAUGUUUCCUUCGCUUUGUAGAGGAGAACAAUGUCAAAGUCGCUAAUGUUUCUAGCCUUUUGUUUUUGCUGCAGCAGCCAACCAAACAUUUUCUAUGGACAAUAUAAUUGGGCGAGUUGAGAAUUUGUUUGUAAAGAACCAGUUUUUUGUGAUUUCCUGCACUUUUUCUUUGCCAUGCGUUUAAGUUAUAAGAACUGUUUAUGUUAUACACAACACCAAGAUUAACUA